rnacentral:rRNA from 1 species
CGGGGUGCAGCAGGCGCGAAAACUUUACAAUGCCGGCAACGGCGAUAAGGGAACCUCGAGUGCCAGGUUACAAAUCUGGCUGUCGUGAUGCCUAAAAAGCAUUGCAUAGCAAGGGCCGGGCAAGACCGGUGCCAGCCGCCGCGGUAACACCGGCGGCUUGAGUGGUAACCGUUAUUAUUGGGUCUAAAGGGUCUGUAGCCGGCCGGGUAAGUCUCUUGGGAAAUCUGGCAGCUUAACUGUCAGGCUUUCAGGAGAUACUGCCUGGCUCGAGGCCGGGAGAGGUGAGAGGUACUUCAGGGGUAGGGGUGAAAUCUUGUAAUCCUUGAAGGACCACCAGUGGCGAAGGCGUCUCACCAGAACGGACCUGACGGCAAGGGACGAAAGCUAGGGGCACGAACCGGAUUAGAUACCCGGGUAGUCCUAGCCGUAAACGAUACUCGCUAGGUGUCGGCCACGGUGCGACCGUGGUCGGUGCCGUAGGGAAGCCGUGAAGCGAGCCACCUGGGAAGUACGGCCGCAAGGCUGAAACUUAAAGGAAUUGGCGGGGGAGCAC